UGGCCCCGUCAAAUUUUUCUCACAUUUUCACAUGUACUAUAGUUUAUUUUUUCAUAAUUAUUUUUUUAUCAACACAAACCAAACAAGCUUCUUGUACAUGUUUCGAAUCCAUAAUUGGAUUCGGUGAUUCAAUAGCUGAUACAGGCAACCUGCAGCACCUGCAUCAAUCGGACCCUCCCCUCUCUUUUCAGGUGCCGCCGUACGGUGAAACAUUCUUCCAUCGUCCCACCGGUAGAUGCUCCGACGGCCACCUCAUUACCGACUUCAUUGGGUCUUCUUGGUGAUCCAGUAGUAUCCGGUCAAGGAGUGCUAGGAUUACUUCAACGAAGGUGAAAGUUUGACUGAGCUCUCUUGUAAGAGAACAAAGAGGUCUCGGUAAUUAGUGAAUCUGGACUUAUCUGAUCCCUACAGUGGUAUCAGAGCCACGGGGGGACUAGUCCGGCACGCCGAGUCGCAUUAAGGAGGUGGGCAAGUGGAAUCCUCAUUCAAGUGGGAGUUCGCUCUGGUGGCUUUAUAAGUUGAAAAGUGAGGUGGAGGGUCUUAGGUACAAGACCAGACUUGUGGCAAAAGGUUUUACUCAACAAGAGGGGUUGAAACAAAUGGAUGUUAAAACAGCUUUCUUGCAUGGUGACUUGGAUAAACCAAUUUACAUGAAACAGCCUGAAGGCUUUGUAGAUCCUAAGUUUCCCAAUCAUGUGUGUUUGUUGAAAAAGGCCUUGUAUAGUUUAAAACAGUCUCCUAGACAGUGGAAUAUCAAGUUUAAUAAUUGUAUCCAUAAGUUGGGCUUUGUGAGAAGUACU